AACGAACGCUGGCGGCAUGCCUAACACAUGCAAGUCGAACGAGACCUUCGGGUCUAGUGGCGCACGGGUGCGUAACGCGUGGGAACCUGCCCUUAGGUUCGGAAUAACUCCCCGAAAGGGGUGCUAAUACCGGAUAAUGUCUUCGGACCAAAGAUUUAUCGCCUUUGGAUGGGCCCGCGUUGGAUUAGCUAGUUGGUAGGGUAAAAGCCUACCAAGGCGACGAUCCAUAGCUGGUCUGAGAGGAUGAUCAGUCACACUGGGACUGAGACACGGCCCAGACUCCUACGGGAAGCAGCAGUGGGGAAUAUUGGACAAUGGGCGAAAGCCUGAUCCAGCAAUGCCGCGUGAGUGAUGAAGGCCUUAGGGUUGUAAAGCUCUUUUACCCGGGAUGAUAAUGACAGUACCGGGAGAAUAAGCUCCGGCUAACUCCGUG
rnacentral:rRNA from 1 species